UCUCCUGGAAAACGGGUGGUAAUGCCGGAUGUUCCACAUGAUCGCAUGUGAUUGUGGGAAAGAUUCUAUCGGCGUGGGAUGGGGUCGCGUCCUAUCAGCUUGUUGGUGAGGUAACGGCUCACCAAGGCUUCGACGGGUAGCCGGCCUGAGAGGGCGACCGGCCACAUUGGGACUGAGAUACGGCCCAGACUCCUACGGGAGGCAGCAGUGGGGAAUAUUGCACAAUGGGCGCAAGCCUGAUGCAGCGACGCCGCGUGAGGGAUGGAGGCCUUCGGGUUGUAAACCUCUUUUGUUUGGGAGCAAGCCUUCGGGUGAGUGUACCUUUCGAAUAAGCGCCGGCUAACUACGUGCCAGCAGCCGCGGUAAUACGUAGGGCGCAAGCGUUAUCCGGAUUUAUUGGGCGUAAAGGGCUCGUAGGCGGCUCGUCGCGUCCGGUGUGAAAGUCCAUCGCUUAACGGUGGAUCUGCGCCGGGUACGGGCGGGCUGGAGUGCGGUAGGGGAGACUGGAAUUCCCGGUGUAACGGUGGAAUGUGUAGAUAU
rnacentral:rRNA from 1 species